rnacentral:rRNA from 1 species
UACGUAGGGUGCAAGCGUUGUCCGGAAUUAUUGGGCGUAAAGAGCUCGUAGGCGGCUUGUCGCGUCGACUGUGAAAACCCGCGGCUCAACCGCGGGUCUGCAGUCGAUACGGGCAGGCUAGAGUUCGGUAGGGGAGACUGGAAUUCCUGGUGUAGCGGUGAAAUGCGCAGAUAUCAGGAGGAACACCGAUGGCGAAGGCAGGUCUCUGGGCCGAUACUGACGCUGAGGAGCGAAAGCGUGGGGAGCAAACAGG